rnacentral:rRNA from 1 species
AGCAGCCGCGGUAAUUCCAGCUCCAAUAGCGUAUAUUAAAGUUGCUGCAGUUAAAAAGCUCGUAGUUGAAUUUCGGGGUCAGCAGGUUGGUCGUGCCACUGGUAUGCACUGGCUUCGCUGAUUCCUCCUUUCUGAAGAACUGUAAUGUCAUUAAUUUGGUGUUGCAGGGAAACAGGACUGUUACUUUGAAAAAAUUAGAGUGUUUAAAGCAGGCUAACGCUUGAAUACAUUAGCAUGGAAUAAUGAAAUAGGACGUUCGAUCCUAUUUUGUUGGUCUCUAGGAUUGACGUAAUGAUUAAUAGGGAUGGUUGGGGGCAUUAGUAUUCAAUUGUCAGAGGUGAAAUUCUUGGAUUUAUUGAAGACUAACUACUGCGAAAGCAUUUGCCAAGGAUGUUUUC